rnacentral:lncRNA from 1 species
GGCUGGAAUGUCAGCUCUUCAGGCCUUUCAGAAGACAAGCAAAACAGCAUCAUAUGGAAGGAACAGGGACUCACAGCAGCGCCUUCAAGCUGGGAAUCUGCUCAGCACUGGAGUGACUCAGGACAUGGGAACACUGGAGGAGGUCUCAUCCAUCAGAGAGCUGAUCCUGAAGAUGACAGCUUCCAAGAUGUUGCAAAGCGAGAACUUCAAACUAUUCUUGGGCUAAAUGGAAGAGAAGUCUGGCUUACGGAGAGGAUCUGCAAGUGCAACACAGCUUGUGUCAGUGGAGCUGCAUCUGGUAUGAACAAUGUGUUAUAUUUCUUGCAUCACUCUGGAAGAUGCCAUUUUGAAGUGUUUACUGAUUGAAAGAUGUGUAGAAUACAGACAAAGAGGUUUUAAAAUGUUCUAGAUUGGAGAGGGGCCUGAGCCAAAAUCCUUGAAAGCGAAAGGCAUGCAGUUGUGCUUGAGUCUGGAGAUCACCUCAGGUUGCAUGGUCUAGAAGAACCAUUUAUUUUGCCAUGUUUUAUUCAUGUGGAACAUGCACCGAUCAUACAACUUCUACCUCUGGUAUGUCAACUUCUCUACAUGAACAAGCACAAUCUCUAGCUAAGUCUUCAGGUCCAGUUCUCAUUUGUGCCAGCAUAACAGGGCCAGGGUGUGCCCCC